CUCAAUAAUUGUAAAUAUAUUACGCACCUAGGGCAGGAAAAUAAGAAAUCACUCAGAUCACAAUAUGUAAUGUAAACAUGUGAUCUGAGGCUUUCUUAUUUACUGCCCAUGGUGCGUAUACUAUUUUUCUC